UACGUAGGGUGCGAGCGUUAAUCGGAAUUACUGGGCGUAAAGCGUGCGCAGGCGGUCCGCAAAGUCUGAUGUGAAAGCCCCGGGCUCAACCUGGGAACUGCAUUGGAAACUAACGGGCUCGAGUGUGGCAGAGGGGGGUGGGAAUUCCACGUGUAGCAGUGAAAUGCGUAGAGAUGUGGAGGAACACCGAUGGCGAAGGCAGCCCCCCUGGGCUAACACUGACGCUCAGGCACGAAAGCGUGGGGAGCAAACAGG
rnacentral:rRNA from 1 species